GUGAGCAAUAAGACUGUUUAUUCACUUGGGUGCAAGUGGGCUCAGUCUGAAAAGAGAGUCAGUGAAGGGAGAUGGGGAAGGGUUUGCUUUAUAGGAGUUGGGUAGGUAAUGGAAAAUUACAGUAAAAGGUGGUUAUCUAUUGUUAGCAGAGGGGGGGUCACAAGGUACAUGGUGGGGAGAUCAUAAGACUCAUUGUCCAAAAGAAGAAUGUUGCAAAGUUGAUUGAUCAGCUAAGGUAGGGCAGGGACAAGUCACAAUGGUAAAAUGUUGUAAUUUUGGUUAAUCAGUUAAGGCAGGAACUGGUUGUUUUACAUCUUUGUGAUUUUUUGGCUGCUCCAGACUUCUUGGCUCCUGCAGGCCACCUGGAUGUGUAUGUGCAGGUCACAGAAGUUAUAAUGGCUGAGUUUCAGCUCAGAGGCCUGACAUUCCUGUCUUUUUAUUUAUAAAAUAUAAAGCUAUAAGAAAAGAUAAAGAAAAUAUAACUUUUUACUGAGGGUUAUUGGGGUAGGGGCGAUGUUUCUUGGGACUGCUUCAAGUGUGACCAGGGACUGCACAGACACCUUAAAGAAUAUUCAAGGGCAGAGGGCAGCAUAAGAACGGGAAUGAGGUUAAAAGUAAGUAUAAAGGUAAAGAAUAGGACUUCAUCAUGGUGAAAGUAUUGGAGUGUGCCCUGCCAGCAAAAAUCACCUAUCCAUUACAAGAGGGAGUCAAGAGUGGUGGUUUGGGGAUAGCACCAGGAGAUAUAAGCUGUGAUGGUUUGGAGAAAAAGUGUAAACUGGCAAUGUAAACAAAAGCAGGGCAUUUAUGAGUAGGUGAGAAUGGUGAAUAGGAAAAUAGCAGGGAUGAAAAAGUUUGUGAGGUGCAGUGCAAGAAGGAGGGGUUGACUGCAUAAAGCAGUUGUAAAGAGUAGAGUAAGGAAGAAGAGACUUAAUAAAAAUGCACAACAGGAUGGAUGGGAAGGACUAUCUGAUUUAUGAGGUGAAGGUCUUGAAUUAGCCUGUAGGACUUGUCCAGUUUCUGGAUGGGUAGGAUAGGAGAGUUGUAAGGAGAAUGUAUAGGCUUUAAAAGCCAUGUUGUAGCAGGUGAGUGAUAACAGGCAUCAGUUCGUUUAAAGCCUGCUGUGGGAUGGGAUAUUGGCAUUGAGCAGGGUAAGCAUGAUUAGGUUAUAAUGGGAUAGUAAUGGGCGUGUGAUCAGUUGUCAGGGAGGGAGUAGAGCUGUCCCGUACCUGUGGGUUAAGAUGGGGGAUACAAGAGGAAGACAUGAAGGAGACUUUGGAUUAGGAAGAAGGGCAGUAAUGAGAUGUGGCUGUAGUCCAGGAAUAGUCAGGGAAGCAGAUAAUUUGGUUAAAAUGUCUCAACCUAAAUGGAAACUGGGCACAUGGGGAUAACUAAAAAGGAGUGCAUAAAAGAAUUUUGUCCAAGUUGGCACCAAAGUUGGGGAGUUAUAAGAGGUUUUGAGGCCUGGUCAUCAAUAUCCACAACAGUUAUGGGGGCAAUGGAAACAGGCCUUGAAAAGAAGGUAAUGUGGAGUGGGUAGCCCCUGUAUCUAUUAAAAAGGGGAUGGACUUACCCUCCACUGUGAGAGUUACCCGAAGCUCAGCAUCUGUGACGGUCCAGGGGUUUUCCAAGGCAAUUGGGCAGUGUCACAGAAGUUAUAAUGGCUGAG
rnacentral:lncRNA from 10 species